rnacentral:rRNA from 1 species
CAGCAUAGAGUAGCAAUACUUUGAUGGCGACCGGCGCACGGGUGAGUAACACGUAUGCAACCUACCUACAUCAGGGGAAUAACCCGGAGAAAUUCGGACUAAUACCGCAUAAUACAGGGAUGCCGCAUGGCAAUAUUUGUUAAAGAUUUAUCGGAUGUAGAUGGGCAUGCGUUCCAUUAGCUGGUUGGUGAGGUAACGGCUCACCAAGGCAACGAUGGAUAGGGGAACUGAGAGGUUUGUCCCCCACACUGGAACUGAGACACGGACCAGACUCCUACGGGAGGCAGCAGUGAGGAAUAUUGGUCAAUGGACGAGAGUCUGAACCAGCCAAAUCGCGUGAAGGAAGACUGCCCUACGGGUUGUAAACUUCUUUUGUACAGGAAUAAAAGACAUUACGUGUAAUGUAUUGCAUGUACUGUACGAAUAAGCAUCGGCUAACUCCGUGCCAGCAGCCGCGGUAAUACGGAGGAUGCGAGCGUUAUCCGGAUUUAUUGGGUUUAAAGGGUGCGCAGGCGGGAUUUUAAGUCAGCGGUGAAAUUUUCAGGCUCAACCUGAACACUGCCGUUGAAACUGGGAUUCUUGAGUAUGGAUGAAGUAGGCGGAAUUCGUUGUGUAGCGGUGACAUGCUUAGAUAUAACGAGGAACUCCGAUUGCGUAGGCAGCUUACUAAGCCAUAACUGACGCUCAAGCACGAAAG